rnacentral:rRNA from 1 species
GAUGAACGCUGGCGGCGUGCCUAUACAUGCAAGUCGAGCGAACAGACGAGGAGCUUGCUCCUCUGACGUUAGCGGCGGACGGGUGAGUAACACGUGGAUAACCUACCUAUAAGACUGGGAUAACUUCGGGAAACCGGAGCUAAUACCGGAUAAUAUAUUGAACCGCAUGGUUCAAUAGUGAAAGACGGUUUUGCUGUCACUUAUAGAUGGAUCCGCGCCGCAUUAGCUAGUUGGUAAGGUAACGGCUUACCAAGGCGACGAUGCGUAGCCGACCUGAGAGGGUGAUCGGCCACACUGGGACUGAGACACGGUCCAGACUCCUACGGGAGGCAGCAGUAGGGAAUCUUCCGCAAUGGGCGAAAGCCUGACGGAGCAACGCCGCGUGAGUGAUGAAGGUCUUCGGAUCGUAAAACUCUGUUAUUAGGGAAGAACAAAUGUGUAAGUAACUAUGCACGUCUUGACGGUACCUAAUCAGAAAGCCACGGCUAACUACGUG